GUACUAAUAGUUCAGAGCUUAGAACGCCGGUCUUGUAAGCCGGAUGCCGAAGGUUAGAAUCCUUCUUAAUACU
rnacentral:tRNA from 1 species